CCUUUUUUAAAGUUAUUCUGUUCAAGUUUAACCCACUGAUUAUAAAUUACAGGUUCUCUUUAUUCUCCUAAGGUUAUGAAUCCACUACCCGGCUCCCAAGCCAGGAUCCUUCAGUUCAGGACGGUGGCAACUCUUCCUGCCGUCAGGAACCCUCAGUACAUCUUGCUCUUCAAACAAUUCUUUUCUUUCAUGUUGAAUGACCCCAUUAACUUACAAUAGACUUUUCAACCCCACACGUUUAGACUGUUGGAUCAGCUGGUGAAAAAUAAUUUGACCUUCCUACUUACACGCCAUGUGGAAAUCACUGCAGGAACAGAUCGCUGAACCAAAGACAAGCAAACGGUGCUGGACACUUGCCUUUUCAUAAAUCUGUACCUGAGGUCAGUCAGCAGCUAUGCCAGUUGAUAUUAUGUAGCCAGGCAUCAUGAGGUGUAAACCAGCUGAGAUACAAGGGUAGUGACCUUUAGAUAGUAUAUUGGAUUUACUUCAUUUGCCUUAAUGCUCRUCAGAAAAGAAGUCUAGAAUGUGAAGUGAAAAGGCACAAAAAAGCACAAACAUCCCAAAAUGACAUGCUAAGAAAAUUAUUCUGUGCUUGCUUUAUCCAGAAAGCAUUUUCAUAGUCAAUCUUUUCUUAUUUCCAGUCACCUCUUUAAAGAGACAAAAUGAGCACAACAAAAAUCCCCUUUUCUCUCUCCCAAAGUGAAAACRGUUGCUUGACACUAAUAUAGGUCUCUUUUGUGCCAGUUCAUAGUGGCUGCCAGGUUGACGUAGCACUGAAAUUUGAGAGGCAAAAAAAUAUACUGUGUCAUCCCAAUUUCUUGAAUUCCAUGGAACCUUCAGGGAGGGGGAGUUGCCACCCAAGAGAACUGCCUCGGGUGUUAACAAAUCAUACUGCUAAAGCUAAUUAGUCUAAUAAUGCUACACUUGGCCAAAGAAAAGAAAAAUAGCUCUUCAAUUGGCAUUAAGUGAACUGGUUGCCCAGGAGAAAUACUAUGGCUUGCUAUCAUAUUUAGAAAUAGAAUCAAACAGCUUCGAGUUGGAUACUGAAAUUCUCAGACUGCAAACAGCACUUGGAAAGGAGGACUUCCAGCUACAUCUUCUUUGCUGACAUAUACUAAACAUUUAGACUCAUGAGUUAUUUUGACAUUCUCCAACUGCUUUUAAAUUUUGUGUAGGCAGCUAUGAAUUUAUGGCUUUGUGGAUUUUUUCUUCAUGGUGC
rnacentral:lncRNA from 1 species